rnacentral:rRNA from 1 species
AUUGAACGCUGGCGGCAGGCUUAACACAUGCAAGUCGAGCGAGCGGCGGACGGGUGAGUAAUGUAUGGGAAACUGCCUGAUGGAGGGGGAUAACUAAUGGAAACGGUAGCUAAUACCGCAUACCAUCAGAUGGGCCCUGAUGGGCUUAGCUAGUAGGGGGGGGAAUGGCUCACCUAGGCGACGAUCCCUAGCUGGUCGGAGAGGAUGACCGGCCACGCUGGAACUGGGACCCGGUCCAGACUCCUCCGUGAGGCAGCAUUGGGGAAUAUUGCACAAUGGGCGCAAGCCUGAUGCAGCCAUCCCGCGUGUGUGAAGAAGGCCUUCGGGUUGUAAAGCACUUUCAGCGAGGAGGCGUUACUCGCAGAAGAAGCACCGGCUAACUCCGUGCCAGCAGCCGCGGUAAUAC